AGAUACACCUGAAUUAAAAUAUCUUGCUACUCCACCAAUGAUUAAUUCUGCAACCAUGGACAAGUCACUUAACAUUCCUGAUCCUCAUUUUCUUACCUGUACAAUGAAUAUGAUAAUAGUACCUACUUAAUGCAUGUACUUACAUAAUAAAGCACUUAGCCUAAAGCAACAUAAGCAAUUAAAACAUGUCAGCAAUAAUUACUAUUUCUUCACCCUCUGAUUUCCCCCAAAGUGUACUGCAUGUGAUUGAUAUGUACUAGACACUGAAUAAAUGUAUGUUGAAGUUCACUAAACCAACAAAGAAAUGAAUGAAAAAAAUCAAUGAACAAUCUUUGACUGAUCAUAGAAAUGCAACACUUUUCAUAUAUGUAGUUAGAAUAAUCGGCAGCCCAGAACUUGGAAGUGAAGCCUGGAUUUGAAGUCUAGUUUUACAGUUUAAUCAUGUGUCUGUAAAACAGGUUGGAGAUUCUAUUGGUAGGCUCUCCAAUACCCAUCACGCCUUCCCUUGUUGAAAGGCCCUUGAUUUUGUUCUGCUAUCAACUCAUAACUUGGGGGGGGAGGAUCAGCCUAUCCCCAUCUUGGGACAAAUCAUGGAGGUCCCAUUCCCAUUGCCAUUGACUGGAUCAGGGAUGGGAACGUGAUCCUUUCUGCUCUAAAUAUCAUCCCUCUGGCCAAGAAAUUGUGCCUGAACAGCUGCAGCCUCCAUGCAACCAACAUGAGGGAGGCAGCCUAUGGGCCAAGUCAACAAGUUUAAGGUGGCAGAGUAAAAUAAAGGUGUGAAAAAACACCUGAGUCCUCAGUAAAAUAAAAACACCUAACAUUUAAUGAAUACUUACUAUGUUUCGGGUAUUCCUCUAAAUGUCUUUAUUACCUCAUGUGAUCCUCAACACUAACACCAAGGAGGAAUGUUUUUAUCAUUGUUUUACAGAUUGAGAAACUGAGGCCUAUAGAAUUCUUGUAAUCUAUGCAAGGUCACAUAGCAUUAAGGGCUAGAGUCAGGAAUUAAACUCACAGUUGGGCACCAAAACUUAUGUUCUUUGCCUCUUUGCUUUAUUGGAUUUGGAAAUGCUAUCAAGACAGAAUCAACCAAUUCUCUCUGGGCUUGUUGCAAGAUUUAAAAUGUCUUACUAUUAAGCCAAUUGCAAUUUGACUUUUUGUUAAAAGCAGCUGAUGGCAUCCCGAUAAAUAUACUCCAAUUCUUCAUCUGUAAAGUGGGGAUACUUCUACAAGCCUGGCGGGGGCGGGGGGCAGGUGUUGCUGUUUGUAACAGAGAGUGCAAUAAGUGAUCUUCUGCAUCACCUCCUAUUGCCAGUCGUCCCCUCCGUCACAGCUUUCCAUUAGCUCACUGAACUUCUUCCAAGACCUGGGCCCAGCUCAGGUGCUUUGCGUACGUUUAGAUUUCCCCCAGAGCAAACGUGCAUAUCCUCCUAAAAUGGAAGUGACCAGGGACACCUCACAUAUGAAAACCAGCUCAUUGCUAAGCAAAGUUACUCUGCUGAUAGAUCUUUAUUAUAACGCGAACUCCUGAUUCUAGAUUUUAUUUUCUCUUCUAAUGCAACUUUUUGCUCUCUCUGUAAUUAGCUUCAAAGGCAAGUAUGUAGAGAACAGCUCAGUGGAUUAUCGCAUGCUAAAUCAGCUUAAAGGAAGGAGGUACAUCCUCAGCUCACUUUCAGGACAUAUGAGCUGAAAGCCAUAAUUUAUAGCUGUCAUAUGAAAAUAAUGAUAAAGUCAUGAAUACAAAAUUAAAAAUAACAAUUUUAGGAUCGCUUCCUCAAAGGGGUAAAGCAUGGGGGGGGGGGACAUUUAUACGUUGAUCUGUGUCAAAUCCCUGGUGAAAAAAAAGGUUUCCUCGUGGUCUAAGGAGAAAACCUUAAGCAUUUUGAUAAGCUUUUCAUAAUAGAUUAUGUCCCGCUUUAAAGGAAACUGUUCAUUACUCUAACAAGUUGGAGAACUGAAUGUAUAUUUUACAUAUUUUUCAAAUGCAUCUUUGUCAUUCUUAAUUUUUGAAACUCUCUGUAAAAGCUGAAUUAUAUAUUCAUUGCAUUUCCAAAAUCCAACUCCCUUUCCUUUUCCAUUCUAUAUCAAAAUGCUUCUCACCAUCAAUGUAAAUUUAAAUUUGUAUAGUACUUUAUAUUUUACAAAGUGCUUUUACUGUCAUUUCCUUAAGCCUCCAACAAGUCCAAAAAAGGAAGACAGGACACAUAUUCUUAUCCAAAUUGUCCAAUAAAUUAGUAAAUUUAUUUAUGCUUGUUUUCUUUCAGUCCUUCAUUUAUUCAGCCAACAUUUGUUUGACAGCCUUUAUGACCAGGCACUACUCCACGCAUUGAGGAUGCAGAAAGGAACAAAAUAGUCACUAUCAUCAGGAAAAUUACAUGUUGGCAGGAAGGCCACACAAUAAACAAGUAAAUGAGUUCAUGAAGAAGCCUAGAUUCAAACCAUGGUUGCUUAAUCACAAAUGUAGAUGCUCCCUGGUCCAAAUAAGUGCACCCAAAAGUUCUCUUUGCCAUGAAUUUUGGCAGUUUGAUUUCUUGGACUCAAAUCUCUUUGGGUUUCCAAAAGCUCCUGGAUUUUUCUUACUCCUCUGAAGAAAUUCAGUGGACAACCAUCAAAGCAGCACUUAAAAACCAGUGCAUUCAGAGCACUGUUGCAGAUAAUUAGGAAGAUUAUUCCUUAUGCCCCUCCCCCAAAACA
rnacentral:lncRNA from 1 species